AAAUUGUACAAUGUUUCCUUUUCUGGAACUUUAGGGGCCUGAUCAAUUGAACAAGUAUAUUGGGGAGAGUGAAUCAGAUGUAAGGAAAAUAUGAACCCGUGCAAGCACUAACUCACCAUACAUCCUAUUUUUUUGAGGUAAAACUAAGUAGUUGUGGCAGCUUUGGAUGAGAGAACCCAAUUCCUGGUACAGUAAAAUGCCAACACAUAUAUGAUUGAUGUUAUGGCAGUAUACUUGACU